GCAGGGAAGAAGGGGAAGGUGGGGGGGAUGGGCUUACGGGGUUGAAGCCGGUGGUGGUGUUGAUGGUGAGGAGGGAGAUCUCGUCGACCUUGGGGCGGAAGACGGCGAGCUGGCCGGAGGAGGCGAGGCUGAGGCGGCGGUCGCAGGGGGAGAGCUGCACGGAUCCGCCGGAGUAGAAGGCGCCGAGGGUGGCGAAGGCGAUCCCGAAGCUGAACCCGUCCCCGCGCUGGAUCCGCGUGUCGCUGCAGGGGUCGUACACCCCGUUCUCGUCCCUCGCCGCCGCCACCGACGCGAGCGCCGCGAGCGCGACGGCGGCCAGCAGCAGCGAAUGCGGCGGCGCGGAGGCGGAGGCGGCCAUGGCG
rnacentral:sRNA from 1 species